GAUGAAGAACGUAGCGAAAUGCGAUAAGUAAUGUGAAUUGCAGAAUUCAGUGAAUCAUCGAAUCUUUGAACGCACCUUGCACCCUUUGGCAUUCCGAAGGGUAUGCUCGUUUGAGUGUCAUUGUACUCUCACACUCCCGAUCUUUGGAUUGGGAGCGGUGGACUUGGGUUUGCUGCUUGCCGUGGCUCACCUCAAAUGGAUUAGUGCAACUCUUGGUUGACCAUAGUACGGCGUGAUAAGUGUCUUCGCCGGCACCUCACUGGGUGGGCCGAUCGGGAGCUCUGUGCUUCAAACCGUCUUCGGACAACAACUGACAACUUGACCUCAAAUCGAGUAGGACCUCCCGCUGAACUUAAGCAUAUCAAUAAGCGGAGGA
rnacentral:misc_RNA from 1 species